AGGACGAACGCUGGCGGCGUGCUUAACACAUGCAAGUCGAGCGGAAAGGCCCUUCGGGGUACUCGAGCGGCGAACGGGUGAGUAACACGUGAGUAACCUGCCCCUAGCUCUGGGAUAGCUCCGGGAAACCGGGAUUAAUACCAGAUACGACCACUUUAGACAUCUGUCGUGGUGGAAAGGAUUCCGGCUAGGGAUGGGCUCGCGGCCUAUCAGCUUGUUGGUGGGGUAACGGCCUACCAAGGCGACGACGGGUAGCCGGCCUGAGAGGGCGACCGGCCACACUGGGACUGAGACACGGCCCAGACUCCUACGGGAGGCAGCAGUGGGGAUAUUGCGCAAUGGGCGAAAGCCUGACGCAGCGACGCCGCGUGGGGAUGAAGGCCUUCGGGUUGUAAACCCCUUUCAGCAGGGACGAAGCGAAAGUGACGGUACCUGCAGAAGAAGCGCCGGCUAACUACGUGCCAGCAGCCGC
rnacentral:rRNA from 1 species